UACGAAGGGGGCUAGCGUUGUUCGGAAUCACUGGGCGUAAAGAGCUCGUAGGCGGCUGUUCAAGUCGAUUGUGAAAACUCGGAGCUCAACUCCGAGCCUGCGUUCGAUACUGGACGGCUAGAGUCUGGUAGGGGGACCUGGAAUUCCUGGUGUAGCGGUGGAAUGCGCAGAUAUCAGGAGGAACACCGGUGGCGAAGGCGGGGGUCCUGGGCCAGUACUGACGCUGAGGAGCGAAAAGCGUGGGGAGCAAACAGG
rnacentral:rRNA from 1 species